rnacentral:rRNA from 1 species
AGUAAUGUCUGGGAAACUGCCUGAUGGAGGGGGAUAGCUGCUGGAAACGGUAGCUAAUACCGCAUAACGUCGCAAGACCAAAGAGGGGGACCUUCGGGCCUCUUGCCAUCGGAUGUGCCCAGAUGGGAUUAGCUAGUAGGUGGGGUAACGGCUCACCUAGGCGACGAUCCCUAGCUGGUCUGAGAGGAUGACCAGCCACACUGGAACUGAGACACGGUCCAG